rnacentral:rRNA from 1 species
GACGAACGCUGGCGGCGUGCUUAACACAUGCAAGUCGAACGGAAAGUCCCUGCUUUUUUGGGGUGCUCUAGUUGCGAACUGGUGAGGAACCCUUUAGUAACCUGCCCUUGACGUUGGGAUAACUUCAUACCACUGGUGCUAAUACCGGAUAGGAUUUCCUGCUGCUUGGUGGGGGUUGGACAGUUUCGGCGGUUGGGGAUGUACUCGCGGCUUAUCAGCUUGUUGAUGGGGUAGUGGAUUACCAAGGCUUUGCCGGGUAGACGGCCUGAGAGGGUGACAGGACAAGUCAGGACUGAGAUACGGCACGGACUCGUCCGGGAGGCAGCAGUGGGGAGUAGUGUACAAUGGGAGGAAGCCUGACGCAGCAACGCCGCGCGGGGGAAAACGGCAAGCGGGUUGUAAACCGCUAUUGUUUGUGACGAAGCGAGAGUGACGGUAAUGGGUAAAGAAGCCCCGGCUAACUACGUG